GGUAGUGGAUUGUUGUUGUUGGUAGUGGGUUGUUGGUGGUAGUGGAUUAGUGGAUGGUUGUUGGUGUCCAUUUUCAACCACAAAUCUUUGCCAAAGUUUUGGACAAUUAUGUCCUUGAACUCUCUUAUAAAUAGAGAGGUUCAUUAGCCAUAUUCAUCAUCCCAAACCAAGAGAGAGCAAAGCUUGUUCUUUGAAAGCUAGGAUUUUAGCUUUCGGGUUUUCUAUAGGGGUUGAGAGUUGUGAGGUUCUCGGGUUGUGUCUUGAGUGUAAAACACUUGUAAUCUUCAUCUUGUUAUAGUGAAAUUUCUUUUUCGCCUCUGCCCGUGGACGUAGGCAUUAAAGCCGAACCACGUAAAUCCUUGUGUUCACUUUAUUUUUCGUUUCGGUCAAUUUACUUGUAGUCAUAUCGGAGUUCUCGAAUCGAUCCUUUCGGCAACAAAUUGGUAUCAGAGCGUAGUUGAAGGAGUGAUAAUAUUUUCUGAAUUGCCCUGUGACUGCAGCUUUGUCUGAUCUUUCACAUCAGGAAGAAAAUAUUAUCAUUCAUUCAAAGGUUCCAAAUUAUGGCUACAAGUGUUUCAUCGACUAAGUAUGAUGUCGAGAAAUUUACCGGGAAAAAUAGUUUCAGUUUAUGGCGCAUCAAGAUGCGGGCAGUGCUGGUUCAACAAGGAUUGCUAAAAGCAUUGUCUGGUAAAGAUAAAUUACCAAGCACGCUUUCGGAAGAGCAAAAGGAUGACAUGCUAGAAAGAGCACAUAGUGCUAUUCUGCUAUGUCUAGGAGAUGAAGUGCUACGAGAAGUAGCGGAUGAGAAAACCGCGUCCGGUUUGUGGCUCCGGUUAGAAAGCAAGUACAUGACGAAGUCAUUGACGAACCGGCUCUACCUCAAGCAAAGACUCUAUGCCCUGAAGAUGGAGGAAGGUACACCUGUUUCCCAGCACCUGGAUAAAUUCAAUUCCAUUAUCAUGGAUUUGAAUAAUAUCGAUAACAAAAUCGAUGAUGAGGACCAAGCAAUAAUUGUUUUGUGUUCUUUGCCUCCCUCGUAUGAGAAUUUUGUUGAUACAAUGAUGUACGGUCGUGAUGACCUGACUCUAGAGGAGGUGAAAAAUGCCUUAAGUUCCAGUGAGUUGAGGAAGAAAAUCACUGGUAAGGUGGUCGAAAACAAUGAAGGCGAAGGCUUGGUUGCUCGAGGAAGAUCCAAGGCAAAGGGUGGAAGUUCAAGUAAAAGCCAUCCUAGAUCGCAGUCCAAGAAGAGAAUACAGUGCUACUACUGUAAGAAGUACGGGCACAUGAAGGUAGAUUGUCCGAAAAGGAAGGAGAAAUCAGAAUCACAGGAGCAACAAAAUGAUCGUGCGAAUGUAGCUGAUGCAGAUUCUUCAAGUGAUGCCGAGAUCGUUCUUGCAGUAUCCGACUCUUACGCUGGUGGGAGAUGGAUUCUUGAUACGGGAGCUACAUUUCAUAUAAGUACUUCGAAAGAUGCAUUCUCAACAUACGAGAAGCAUUCUGGUUCAGUACUAAUGGGAAAUGACCACGCAUGUCAAGUCAUGGGGAUUGGCACAGUUCGUAUAAAGAUGUUUGACGGUAUUGUUAGAACUCUAACUGAUGUUCGGCACAUUCCAGAAAUGAAGAAAAAUUUGAUCUCUUUGAGUACGUUGGACAAGAAAGGCUUUCGGUACUCUGCUGAAGGUGGAGUUCUCAAGGUAUUCUCGGGUGCUUUGACUGUGAUACGUGGUAAUUUGGAGCGGGGCCUUUACUUCCUCGAUGGUUCCUCGGUUACAGGUGUUGCGGGAGUGUCAUCAUCAGAUGAUCUAGAUUCUGACACCACGAAGUUAUGGCAUAUGCGGCUCGGGCAUAUGAGCGAGAGAGGCUUAUCGGUGCUAAGCAAACGAGGAUUAUUGUCUGGGCAGUGUACAGGAAAGUUGAAUUUCUGUGAGCACUGCGUCUUCGGUAAGCAGACUCGGGUAAAGUUCAGCACUGGGAUUCACAAGACAAAAGGCACAGUGGAUUACUUCCAUUCUGACCUUUGGGGGCCUUCUCCGACAAUUUCUAAAGGUGGUUACAGAUAUCUGCUUACCUUUAUCGAUGAUUACUCGAGAAAGGUUUGGGUGUAUUUUCUGAAGAGCAAGUAUGAGGUUCUCAUCAACUUCAAGCAAUUUAAAGCUUUGAUCGAAAAUCAAACAGGAAAGAAGAUCAAGCGAUUCCGGACGGAUAAUGGCUUGGAGUUUUGCUCAGGUGAAUUCAAUGAGUUCUGCAAGAAUGAAGGAAUAGUGAGACACCGCACUGUUCGUCGAACACCACAACAAAAUGGAGUUGCAGAACGCAUGAAUAGAACUCUCUUGGAGCGAGCUCGUUGCAUGCGAUCAAAUGCUGGGCUCGGUGAAGAAUUUUGGGCUGAAGCUGUUAAUACUGCUUGUUAUUUGGUUAACAGAUCUCCGUCAACAGCUAUUGAGCUGAAGACUCCUGAGGAAGUAUGGUCUGGUUCUCCUGCUGAUUACUCUGGUUUAAGAGUGUUUGGCUGCCCUGCGUAUGCUCAUGUAAAUGAGGGAAAACUCAAACCGAGGGCGAAGAAAUGCAUAUUUCUUGGAUACGGCCAAGGGGUGAAAGGAUACAGGUUGUGGUGUCCUGAUCCGGUUUCGUCCAAGUUCAUCAUCAGCAGAGAUGUGACUUUUGAUGAGUCAUCCAUGCUUCGAUCCACCACAAAUUCCCGGGAAAAGGAGGAGUCAGAUAGAAUGGGAGAUCACGGUGUUGAGAAGCAGGUGGAGUGUCAGGUGGACGCUCCAAUUCCUACGGAAGGUACUUCAGUCCAGGAUGAUCAAGUUGAGGUGCAAGAUUCCGAUGAAGAUGAGUCACCUCAAGAAAAACCAUAUAGCAUUGCCACUGGAAGAACGAAGAGACAAAUCAAACCAAAUCCGCGUUACGCUAAUCUGGUGUCUUUCGCGCUCAGUGUGGCGGAGUCCAUUGGUAUAGAACCUUCCAGUUAUAAUGAGGCUGUCACGUGUGAUGAGUCGGCACAGUGGGCAAUUGCUAUGAGUGAGGAGAUAGAAUCUCUUCACAAGAACCAUACUUGGGAGUUGGUUAAGCCGCCAAGUAACCAGAAGAUAGUUGGUUGCAAAUGGGUCUUCAAGAAAAAGGAAGGCAUCCUAGGGGUUGAAGCAACUAGAUUCAAGGCACGAUUGGUUGCUAAAGGCUUCACUCAGAAAGAGGGGAUUGACUACAAUGAAGUUUUCUCCCCAGUCGUAAAGCAUUCUUCCAUUCGUAUAUUACUUGCCAUGGUGGCCAAGUCUGAUCUAGAACUUGAGCAGCUUGACGUAAAAACGGCGUUCUUGCAUGGUGAGCUCGAGGAAACAAUCUACAUGCGUCAACCAGAGGGUUUUACAGUUCCUGGUAAAGAAGACCAUGUCUGUCUAUUAAAGAAGUCUUUAUAUGGAUUGAAACAAUCCCCAAGGCAGUGGUACAAGCGGUUUGAUAGCUUCAUGAUUCAGCAUGGUUACACAAGAUGUGACUAUGAUGCUUGUGUCUAUCAUCGGAAGCUCUCAGAUGGUUCGCACAUUUAUUUGUUGCUGUAUGUUGAUGACAUGUUAAUUGCUUCCAAAAACAUGUCGGAAAUCAACAAGUUAAAGUCGCAGUUGAGUGGUGAGUUCGAGAUGAAGGAUCUGGGUGCUGCCAAGAAAAUUUUGGGCAUGGAUAUUCACAGAGAUCGCAAGGCGGGCAAGCUUCGUGUGUCGCAGAAGAACUACAUUGAAAAGGUUCUUCAACGCUUCGGCAUGGAUAAAGCGAAAACUGUGAGUACUCCGUUGGCACCACAUUUCAAACUCUCUGCAGAGUUGUCACCACAAUCUGAUGAAGAAAAGCAGCAAAUGUCUCACAUUCCAUACUCGAGUGCAGUUGGAAGCGUGAUGUAUGCAAUGGUUUGCACUCGUCCAGACAUUUCACAUGCAGUUAGUGUGGUCAGCAGAUACAUGAGUUGUCCUGGCAAGGAACACUGGCAGGCCGUGAAAUGGAUUCUCAGGUACUUGAGAGGUUCUGCAGAUUUAUGCUUGGUAUAUGAUCAGAGUGACUGCACUAGCAGUGUCACGGGCUAUGCGGACUCUGAUUAUGCUGGAGAUCUGGACAAAAGAAGAUCUCUGACGGGUUAUGUUUUCACUUAUUCUGGAGGAGCCAUUAGUUGGAAAGCUGUGUUACAGUCUACCGUAGCCUUAUCUACGACUGAGGCGGAAUAUAUGGCGUUAGCAGAAGCAGUGAAAGAAGCAUUGUGGAUGAAAGGUCUAGUAAGCAGUUUGGGUUUACAACAGGAUUUCACUGUUGUAUUUUGCGAUAGCCAGAGUGCCAUACAUCUGACUAAAAAUCAGAUGUUUCAUGAACGGACCAAACACAUUGAUGUCAGAUAUCAUUUUGUUCGGGAACAUGUUACGCAAGGUGACAUUGUUAUCAGCAAGGUUGCUACCGAGAAGAAUCCUGCAGAUAUGUUAACUAAGGUGAUCCCUGCAUAUAAGUUCAAGCAUUGCUUGGACUUGAUAGGUAUUCGGGAUUGAUUAGCGCCAGAGAGGCGUUUGGAAGAGGUGAUCCAGUUCACUAUGAUGUUCAGCUUGGUAAAUUUCAAGCCAAGGUGGAGAUUUGUUAAGAAAUGGCUUAAAAUUGGUAGUGGAUUGUUGUUGUUGGUAGUGGGUUGUUGGUGGUAGUGGAUUAGUGGAUGGUUGUUGGUGUCCAUUUUCAACCACAAAUCUUUGCCAAAGUUUUGGACAAUUAUGUCCUUGAACUCUCUUAUAAAUAGAGAGGUUCAUUAGCCAUAUUCAUCAUCCCAAACCAAGAGAGAGCAAAGCUUGUUCUUUGAAAGCUAGGAUUUUAGCUUUCGGGUUUUCUAUAGGGGUUGAGAGUUGUGAGGUUCUCGGGUUGUGUCUUGAGUGUAAAACACUUGUAAUCUUCAUCUUGUUAUAGUGAAAUUUCUUUUUCGCCUCUGCCCGUGGACGUAGGCAUUAAAGCCGAACCACGUAAAUCCUUGUGUUCACUUUAUUUUUCGUUUCGGUCAAUUUACUUGUAGUCAUAUCGGAGUUCUCGAAUCGAUCCUUUCCGCAACA
rnacentral:lncRNA from 1 species